rnacentral:tRNA from 1 species
UCUCAAGAAGAAGGCUAACACCUUACCAUCAACACCCAAAGCUGAUAUUCUAAUUAAACUACUUCCUG